UCGUUACGAGGGCGGAACAGGCAGCCGCCACCUCCGAGCAAUCGGAACAGGAGAUGCAGGGUACGCCGUCCUGCCACGACGC
rnacentral:ncRNA from 12 species